CGAAGUAGCAUUAUUUAUAUUAAUUACGAAUGAACGUGGUAAAUUGAAUAACGUUGCACUUGUAAUUCCGUUUGAUAUCUCCGAGUGAAAGAAGCGUGAAGUUAUUGCAUCGUAGUUAUCUCUGAAAUACAAUCGUACCAUGACCAAUUAAAUGCAGCCUUGGAAUUCUGAAGAGCCCCGAAUAAAAUUCAGUCUCUUGAAUAGCAAUGACAGAGAUCAACUAACAAAGUCUUAUUUGCGUAUAAAAAGAAUAAAAUCCACCACUAUUCCAAAAAUACUUCUUCCACUCGUUGGAAAGCAAUUUUUCAUAACCACAAUCACACUAAGGUGAUAGCACGACGAAAACAUCGCUGAAA